ACUGGGAGCAGUGUCACACCUGCAGUCCUGGCUACUAGGGAGGCUGAGGUGGGAGGAUCACUUGGGCCUAGGAAUUAGAGGCUGUAGGGCACUAUGCCCGUCAGGGGUCGGCACUAAGUUCACCAUUAUGGUGACCUCCCCAGAGCAGGGGGCCACCAGGUUGCCUAAAGAGGGGUGAACUGGUCCAGUCUGGAAAUGAAGCAAGUCAAAGCUCCCAUGCUGAUAAGUAGAGGGGUGGCAUCUGUGAAUAACCACUGCACUCCGGCCUGGGCAACCUACUGAGUCCCCAUCUCUU
ensembl:misc_RNA Metazoa_SRP Metazoan signal recognition particle RNA